rnacentral:lncRNA from 1 species
UACUUAGGAGGACAUUUACUAUUCACUUACUGAUUUGCAUCAAAUUACCACAUACAGCCUGAGUGAGACAUGCCCUUCAUUUGUUAAGCAGCUGAGGGUUUGUAACUGCUUGUGACUGCGGCAUGUCCAAGAAUGUUUUGUCUGAUGCGCGACAAUGAGUGAAUAUAUAAUGAUUCAACAAGAGCCAUAGAGUUUUAAAAUGUGUUACAUUUUAUAGGAAAUACAGUUACUUAGACUUAUAAA